rnacentral:lncRNA from 1 species
CUCCAUCGAGCAAUAAGAACAAAACAAGUUGUGAAAUAAUUGAGAGAGGAGAUCUUCAGCUUGGCAUUCAGAGAGGAGCUAUCACCUGGAAAGGGUAUUGCAGGUCUUAAAUUCAUCCGUCUAUUAGAUCUGGCCACCAGAAAUGGGACCUCCUCAGACCUAUCCAAUGACAGCUCCAGUCUGAAGGGCAGAAAAAAUGGAAGUCUCUACUUAAAGGCACCCAGGCAGGAAAAGUUUUCUCUUACAGUGGUACAUUGGUUCACAAACUUAAUUUGUUCCAUGAACCUGGGAAAGAUGGCUGUGUUCAUGUUCAUGUGGGGAAAACGGCCACAGGUCAUGUUCAUCACCUGAAGCAGAGUUCUCCAAUAGAAGCAAAAUUUUGCCCAGUGCUUCUGUUGGCGAACAAUUUGCAAACAGAAGCGUUCAUGAACAGAAGUAUUACUGGGAAAGGUGAGCUUUUGUUCUAUUCAAG